rnacentral:rRNA from 1 species
AAUCAACGCUGGCGGCGUGCCUCAGACAUGCAAGUCGAACGCGAAAGUCUCCUUCGGGGGACAAGUAGAGUGGCGCACGGGUGAGUAACACGUAGGUAAUCUACCUUUGGAUGGGGAAUAACAACCGGAAACGGUUGCUAAUACCGCAUAAUGCAGCGGCACCUAAUGGUGACAGUUGUUAAAGCGGGGGAUCGAAAGACCUCGCGUCUGAAGAGGAGCCUGCGGCGGAUUAGCAGUUGGUAAGGUAAUGGCUUACCAAGGCUACGAUCUGUAACCGGUCUAAGAGGACGGUCGGUCACACUGACACUGAAUAACGGGUCAGACUCCUACGGGAGGCAGCAGUCGGGAAUUUUGGGCAAUGGGCGAAAGCCUGACCCAGCAACGCCGCGUGAAGGAUGAAGUAUUUC